UCGUGAUUGAAAGCUCUGAGAAAAAGUUGAAGUGAAGAAAAAGUUCCUGUCAGGUUUUUGAAGGAGGAAUUCUUUUUGGAGGGGAGGCAAAAGAAGGCAUGGGUGGUUUACAUUCACUGUAACAUUCCUGUUCCAAACUCCAAAGGGGUUCUGCCAUCAGCGUGAUGGAGCAAUCAUGGCAAGCUACUGUCACGCCGCUCUGCUCAGUGGCCCACGUGGCACGUGUUUGCAUGCAUCCUAAACGUGCCCUGUGAUGCUCUCUUCCUUAUCAGGGCAGCUUUUGGAGGAAAUUUUCUAAUUGUUUAGUAAAAACAUUUUUUUUCCUAAAAUGGUACAGUCAAAAAUGGAUCGGUUAUUCAUGGCACAAUCUCAUCUAAAUACUAAAAAUACACCAGAAACCCAAUUUUGCACGAUAUUACAAUUCUCAGUGAUUCAAAUGGGUGAUUUGGAUAUAGGAACCUCUUGCCUGCUGCUCUAAAAACGUAUUUUGAAACUCAGCUGUGGGGUCAUCAUGUUACUCUACCUGGCUGUGAGAAAUCUUUUAGAGUACUUUCUGCCUUGUGAUGUGCAGAUAAUGUCCUGUACAGGAGUGCUCAAGAAGCAACUCCAUUUGUCAUGUAGCUCUAUUCAGACACCUCUGAAAAAAGAGACAUGAUGAUGACAAAAAGAUAGAGAAAUCCACUACGUUUUUUUAAAUACCUUAAAUAUAUUUAUUGUAAUAACACUUUUCACCUUGACAAUUCAAUAAAAUGAACUCAUUUGUAAUCUGGCACAAAUAAUUAAAGCUUUUAAGAAUGUCCACAUUAA